UACGUAGGGGGCAAGCGUUGUCCGGAUUUAUUGGGCGUAAAGAGCGUGUAGGCGGCCAUGCAGGUCCGUUGUGAAAACUCGAGGCUCAACCUCGAGACGCCGAUGGAAACCAUCAGACUAGAGUCCGGAAGAGGAGAGUGGAAUUCCUGGUGUAGCGGUGAAAUGCGCAGAUAUCAGGAAGAACACCGGUGGCGAAGGCGGCUCUCUAGUACGGUACUGACGCUGAGACGCGAAAGCGUGGGGAGCGAACAGG
rnacentral:rRNA from 1 species